rnacentral:snRNA from 1 species
GUUGUGAUGCGAAAAUUUCAUAUU